AUGAAAAUGACUAGUUGGAACUGUCGAGGGUUGGGUCGUCCUCAGACAGUGCAAGAGCUUGUGUGUCUCACAAUGACACACCGACCCAAUGUUAUCUUUCUUUCCGAAACAAGGCAGAAUAAGAGUGUGGAGAGUUUGCGUUAUCGUUUGGGUAUGAAAAAUGUUUUCACUGUUUCUGUGCCAGGCAAAGGUGGUGGAUUAGCGGUAUUUUGGGAUGAUCUGUACACAUUGGAGUUGAACAAAUAUGUUGAACACUUCAUCGACAUGUAUGUAUGCAAUGAUGCUGGAAGUAAAUGGAGAAGCACAUUCGUCUAUGGGGAACCAAAGGAGAGCCAAAGGUAUGUGAUAUGGGAUUUGUUAAGACGAAUAAAACCACUUGGGGCUGGACCGUGGUUUAUGGUUGGUGAUUUUAAUGAGGCAAUGUGGCAAAAUGAGCAUUUUUCUCAGACCAGCGAGCUCACAAACUUAUGGCUAAUUUUCGCCAAGUUCUAUCCGAUUGCGAUUUAUUUGAUUUGGGGUUCAAUGGUGUUCCUUGGACUUACAACAAUAAACAGGAAGGUAAUAAAAAUGUGA
rnacentral:rRNA from 1 species